GAUGAACGCUGGCGGCGUGCCUAAUACAUGCAAGUCGAGCGAACAGACGAGGAGCUAGCUCCUCUCAGGUGAGCGGCGGACGGGAGAGUAACACGUGGAUAACCAACCUAUAAGACUGGGAUAACUUCGGCACACUGGAGCUAGUACCGGAUAAUAUAUUAAACCGCAUGGUUCAAUAGUGUAAGACGGGUUUGCUGUUACUUCAAGAGUGAUCCGAGCCGCCUAAGCGAGUUGGUAAGGUAAGGGUUUACCAAGGCAAUGAUGCGUAGCCGACCUAAGAGGCUGUUCGGCAACAGUAGAAGUGGGAAACGGGCCAGACUCAUACGGGAAGCAGCAGUAGGGUCUAAGGCGCGAUGGGCGAAAGCUAGACGGAGCAAUGCCGCGUGGGUGAUGAAGGUCUUCGGAUCGUAAAACACUGUUAUUAGGGAGGAACAAUUGUGUAUGUGACAAUGCACGUCUUGACGGUACCUGGUGAGAAAGCCACGGCUAACUACGUG
rnacentral:rRNA from 1 species